rnacentral:rRNA from 1 species
CACGAGGGUUACACUGUCUCCUCUCUCCGAUCAGUGAAACUGAUCUCCCCGUGAAGAAGCGGGGAUGAACAAAUAAGACGAGAAGACCCCAUGGAGCUUUAAAUCUCACAGCAACUCCAACACUUAUUUCCUUAUAACCUACAGAGCAGUGCAUACCGAUUUUAGGUUGGGGCGACCGCGGAGUAAAAAUUACCCUCCACGACGAAAAGAGCUAAUCUUUAUCUAAGAGUAACCACUCUAAGAAUUAGUAUACUAACGAGUAAUGACCCGACAAUCGAUCAACGGACCAAGUUACCCUGGGGAUAACAGCGCAAUCUACUUCAAGAGCCCGUAUCGACAAGUAGGCUUACGACCUCGAUGUUGGAUCAGGGUAUCCCAGUGGUGCAGCCGCUACUAAUGGUUCGUUUGUUCAACGAUUAAAACCCUACGUGAUCUGAGUUCAGACCGGAG